ensembl:lncRNA
GCCUACACUACCACCUGUGACAUAAAAGCCUGGCCUCUUGGUAGAGGCAGAAUACCUUCCCAUACAGGUGCUACAUGUCCCAAUACCAAUGAGGGAACAUUUCCAACAAAGGCCCGAGGGACCACAGGGAUCUCAUCACUGCCAACAGUAUAGCAAUUGAGGAGGAACAGCCAAAGCCAGGCUUGAACCAGGAACCCGGUAGUUAUAUGUGGAAGAAGUGGAUGGAAGAUUCUCAGGACACAGUACACCUAGGCCAGGAAGGAGGCACCCUCAGGUAGUGCUGGUGGAAGGGCUAUAGGAAGACACAUCUCCAUCCUUCAGCACUUUCUGGAGCCCCAUACUGCAUAAUGGAUGAGGCCCAUCCAGCAACAGGCGGUACAGCCUGCAUUUCCCCCCUCAUAUGAAGCCAAACACCAGUCAGCAAAACCACAAUAACUCGUGGGUUGGGAUGGCUCCUUGUACAAGCACCCGAAGGCACAAUGACGAGGAGGAAGAUUAGUUUGGGAAGGUAGAGGACCAUGACUCUCUCAGCACCAUUUAGAAGGCCCUGGAUAAAUUCUGCCAUGCUGAUGAGGAUGGUUCCUUUUGGCUGAUCCCUGGAGUGAAGAACACAAAGCCUUUUACCAACAGCUGGUGGAUGAGAUUGGGGCACACUGCCAGAUGAUGCACCAACAACAGUAGCUAGUGAACCAGCAGCUGCCCCUAUCUCCAUGUAAUGAAAUCACCAUCAAUAUUGCACAGACCAUUUUGUUUUCUUCAUCUUAUUGCAUGUUUAUAUACACGUUCCCUUUGUUUCAUUACAAGGGGUUAUGCUUUUUUUUCAUUAUUUGGGGUUAUUCUUAACUUUUUUAGUUGUACA